GAUGAACGCUGGCGGCGUGCCUAAUACAUGCAAGUCGAGCGAACAGACGAGGAGCUUGCUCCUCUGACGUUAGCGGCGGACGGGUGAGUAACACGUGGAUAACCUACCUAUAAGACUGGGAUAACUUCGGGAAACCGGAGCUAAUACCGGAUAAUAUAUUGAACCGCAUGGUUCAAUAGUGAAAGACGGUUUUGCUGUCACUUAUAGAUGGAUCCGCGCCGCAUUAGCUAGUUGGUAAGGUAACGGCUUACCAAGGCAACGAUGCGUAGCCGACCUGAGAGGGUGAUCGGCCACACUGGAACUGAGACACGGUCCAGACUCCUACGGGAGGCAGCAGUAGGGAAUCUUCCGAAAUGGGCGAAAGCUUGACGGAGCAAAGCCGCGUGAGUGAUGAAGGUCUUCGGAUCGUAAAACUCUGUUAUUAGGGAAGAACAAAUGUGUAAGUAACUAUGCACGUCUUGACGGUACCUAAUCAGAAAGCCACGGCUAACUACGUG
rnacentral:rRNA from 1 species